rnacentral:rRNA from 1 species
CUGCUGCCUUCCGUAGGAGUUUGGACCGUGUCUCAGUUCCAAUGUGGGGGACCUUCCUCUCAGAACCCCUACGCAUCGUCGGCUUGGUGGGCCGUUGCCCCACCAACUACCUAAUGCGCCGCAUGCCCAUCCAUGACCGGGGUCGCCCCCUUUGACCGGCAGGGGAUGUCCCCUCCCGGCAUUAUGUUGUAUUAGGCGGGAUUUCUCCCGGUUAUCCAUCUGUCACGGCCAGGUUGCAUACGUGUUACUCACCCGUGCGCCGGUCGCCGGG